AGAUACUUGUUCCAGCUUGCAAUUCAUGAAGCAGAUUGUUCACAAAGCCUUCAGUGAUUUCCUGUAUUGGAAUUUCGUCUAAGAAAGAAAAAAAUUAUCCCCUUAGAAAUUUUACUGCAGGCUUAAAAAAUAUAAUUUAUGGAUUUCAAUGCUGUAAAAAUGUGAUUUCCCUCGAAAGAAACCAUCAUAAUUUUAUUAAGUAUCUGAGCUAAAUCCAACAGGACACAUGGUCUGCAGCACUGUGUGAGAUCUACUUCUAUCCCCAGAGCAGCUGGGUCCCUGGUGCACAGUUCAACCACAUCAUCAAGGCUGAUUUGGACUGGAAUGCCACUCAAAUCCCACUUCUGUGAUUUCAUUUUAAGAUGAAAGCCUUAAAAAAAAAAGCUGAAAUCUAUUCCAAUGGCCUACUAUUCCUGUGAUUUGUCAUUACAAAACUAUUUAGCCUAAUCUUUAAAUGCCUUAGAAAAAAUGGCAUAUAUAUGAAGUUAGCACCCACUAAUUUCAGUAAUAAAUCCCUGUUGUUUCAGUAAAGUUCAAUAAAGCUAAAGUUUUUUAUGCUUUUAAAGACUUCAUCUGCACUAGCAGUCAUGUAAUGUUAGCUUAAAUGAUCAACCAGAUGGCAGUGGAAGCAGAGAGGCUUUAAACAGAGCUUUCUGAAUAAUCUGCCCUGAAUCUAAAGGAGAACUUUAAUUUGGUUGGAAUAAGUGUGAGCUUGUAUGAGUACAUGUAUUUUUUAACCAAGCUGUCUAUGUAACACAAUUUAUGUAGCACGAGAAUCUAAAAAGAAGCUCAGUGUGAAGGCAAAGCAUAGAGUCAUUCAGCAGAGCUAUUUUUAAAAGACAAAAGGGUAAAGAUAGUGAAAGGAGCAAACAGACUUUAAGACAGGUGUUUUAUUGAAUUUCUUGUUGAAAAGCAAGAACAAAGAUGUAAAUAUUGCACGCUGUCCUUUUGCUUCAAUUCUUUUUUUGUUUUUCUGCCCUUUCUGUUUAAAACACUUCGGCAUCAGUUUCAUCACAGCGUCAGCCUAGUUUGCUAUUAGCUUAAAUGUACUCCUCUGAGACAAUAAUCUGAAAAAUUCUAUAGAAAAUCAGUGAUCCCAGACAGAAUGUAUGAGAUAAGAAUUAAUCAUAAAUAAUAAUUAUAACUUGGGAGUAGUAGCUCUCCUCAAACUAGGAGCUUGAAAUGUUGCAUGAUGCUAAUGUUGUUUGAUUGCUGCUUUAUUUCUUAACUACCUCUGAAAAAAUGGGCAAAUCUUUCUUGCUGUCAGGAAACUCUCACCAUAACCAUAUUGCACAUACGGGCCCACUUCACACAAAGCAUGAGAAUAUACAAUUUGCAUUUUAAACUACCUGCUUUAACCAUUUUAUUAUAGACUAUGUCUAUUAAACCUUAAAAUGUUGCUUUUUGGAAAUACCGUAGUAAAAGUUAGAAAGAAAAUAUGUACAACCUUCCAGCAUAUGGCUCAUGAGGGCUAGCUAAUGUUUUAAAUGUUUAUUAGAUAUAUAUUUUCAUGACUUCAUUUAAUUUUUAUUAUAUUUUAGAACAUUAUCAAU